rnacentral:rRNA from 1 species
CAUAGCGACUAUCGUGGCAUAUCAAUAAGCGGAGGAAAAGAAACUAACAAGGAUUCCCUUAGUAACGGCGGGUGAAGCGGGAAGAGCUCAAAUUUGAAAUCUUAAAGGGUUUCCCUUGACGAAUUGUAGUUUAAAGAAGUGUUUUCUGUUGGAGUUUUCGGUAAAAGUUCUUUGGAAUAGGACAUCAUAGAGGGUGAGAAUCCCGUAUUUGACUAUUCUUUCUAGCUGUGUGAUACACUUUCAAAGAGUCGGAUUGUUUGGGAAUGCAGUCCAAGAUGGGUGGUAAAUUUCAUCUAAAGCUAAAUAUUGGCGAGAGACCGAUAGCGAACAAGUACCGUGAGGGAAAGAUGAAAAGAACUUUGAAAAGAGAGUUAAACAGUACGUGAAAUUGUCAAAAGGGAAGCGUUUGACACCAGUGUUGCUUUUCCGAAAAUCAAUUACGAAUGUUUUAGUUUUUGAGAAGUUAUGACUUCAUCGGCUUGCUCCUUUCUUUAUGAAACUUUCUUAAUGCACUUUUCGGUUAACAAGUCAACAUCAAUUUCUUUUGUUGUAAAAGGGUAUGAGGAAGGUGGCUUUCAUUUUCGGAGAAAGUGUUUAUAGCCUUGUACCUCUGCAAUCGGAGAGAUUGAGGUCUGCAGCGUAGAUCCUUCGGGGUUAGAUACGUUUGUGCUAAGUUAUAGCUUUUCAUAGACAACUUGUUGACUAUGUUUAGUCUUGUAGCUUACUCGCUGACGCUAUUUUACCUACGCUUAGGAUGUUGACGAGACUGUCGAUCUC